UACGAAGGGGGCGAGCGUUGUUCGGAAUUAUUGGGUUUAAAGGGUGCGUAGGCGGUCCUAUAAGUCAGUGCUGAAAUAUCCCGGCUUAACCGGGAGGGUGGCAUUGAUACUGCAGGACUUGAGUAAAGUUGAGGUUGGCGGAAUUGACGGUGUAGCGGUGAAAUGCUUAGAUAUCGUCAAGAACACCUAUUGCGAAGGCAGCUAACUAAGCUUUAACUGACGCUGAGGCACGAAAGUGUGGGGAUCAAACAGG
rnacentral:rRNA from 1 species